rnacentral:rRNA from 1 species
GACGAACCGUGCGAACGUUAUUCGGAAUCAUUGGGCUUAAAGGGCGCGUAGGCGGCGGUGUAAGUUGGACGUGAAAUCCCAUCGGCUCAACCGUGGAAUUGCUCCCAGUACUGCAUCGCUCGAGGGGGAUAGGGGUUUGCGGAACUACCGGUGGAGCGGUGAAAUGUGUUGAUAUCGGUGGGAACGCCAGUGGCGAAAGCGGCAAACUUGACCAUUCCUGACGCUGAGGCGCGAAAGCUAGGGGAGCAAACGGG